rnacentral:lncRNA from 1 species
AUGGAAGGGAACUGCCUGUUCAGCAAGAAAUUUCAAGCAACAGUUCUUGGAAACCAUAUGGAGAUCAGCCUGGGAGUUUUGCAAGGAAACACCCAGCAGCGGCCGUUUUCAGAGAGAAGAUACGAUUCUGACCUGCUGCUGUUAUACCUUCGGCAUUUAGUGAUAUGGUGGGUAAAGAUUAUUCCCAGACUGAACCCUUCAUCACAAGCCAACUUUUAACUGUGAGAGAAAUGUCUGAACUGUGAAAACCUACACCUGUAGAAUGAAACAGUGGAGGCUGGAGGGGAAAACAGUGUGGAGACACUUUUUGACAGCUGUUUGACCUGCGAAUGCUGCGGAGCUGUCAGUGAAGCAGUGUGGUGGAGGUGACUACGGCCCUGGGUGCAGGUGGGAUUGCUCCUCUCCUGGGGGCUGCCCGCCUGGAGGCGCAGGUGGGCAGGUCUGCCAAGGGUGGUGGGACACGUGUGCAAAUGUUGAACCCUGCCAUUGACACAGUAAGGCUCCCAUAUAGCAGCAAGGAGCAGAAAGCACCAGUCAGGUUCCAAAACAGGCUGUGAAGAUGCUUUUCUUGUAGGCAAAAUCUUCAGCAAGUGACCGAAGCAGAUAAAUUAAAGCCCGCAAGCAAGGAUCCAUGUGCAAGGACAUGGGCAGAAAGUUGUGCAGAAAGCUUCCUACUUCAGCCCUGCCUUCCCUAGUCACUUUGAGCUUUUGGUAUUUGAAAGUUAAAUUUCUAAUUUUAUUCAAACAAAGCCUGGCUUUCUUGCGUUUUAAAGCUUUUUGGUCUUUAGGGAUCACACUGUAGGUGAUGGUUUCAGCAGAUCCACUUCAAAGCUUUGGCAGAUUCAGUGUCCUAUCGUAGCAUAUACUAAUUAGUGAAGCUGUGGGCCAAAUUCCUGUGGGAUAUAACCCAACAGAUACAAUAGUAUUAUGCUGGAAUUAAUCCUCUAAACCAAAACUGUAAACCUGUGC